rnacentral:rRNA from 1 species
UACGGAGGAUGCAAGCGUUAUCCGGAAUUAUUGGGCGUAAAGAGCUCGUAGGCGGUUUGUCGCGUCGAAUGUGAAAACCCGGGGCUCAACCCCGGGCCUGCAUUCGAUACGGGCAGACUAGAGUUCGGUAGGGGAGUCUGGAAUUCCUGGUGUAGCGGUGAAAUGCGCAGAUAUCAGGAGGAACACCGGUGGCGAAGGCGGGACUCUGGGCCGAUACUGACGCUGAGGAGCGAAAGCGUGGGGAGCGAACAGG